GACGAACGCUGGCGGCGUGCUUAACACAUGCAAGUCGAACGGAAAGGCCCUGCUUUUGUGGGGUGCUCGAGUGGCGAACGGGUGAGUAACACGUGAGUAACCUGCCCUUGACUUUGGGAUAACUUCAGGAAACUGGGGCUAAUACCGGAUAGGAGCUCCUGCUGCAUGGUGGGGGUUGGAAAGUUUCGGCGGUUGGGGAUGGACUCGCGGCUUAUCAGCUUGUUGGUGGGGUAGUGGCUUACCAAGGCUUUGACGGGUAGCCGGCCUGAGAGGGUGACCGGCCACAUUGGGACUGAGAUACGGCCCAGACUCGUACGGGAGGCAGCAGUGGGGAAUAUUGCACAGUGGGCGGAAGCCUGAUGCAGCAACGCCGCGUGCGGGAUGACGGCCUUCGGGUUGUAAACCGCCUUCGCCUGUGACGAAGCGGGAGUGACGGUAAUGGGUAAAGAAGCACCGGCUAACUACGUG
rnacentral:rRNA from 1 species